rnacentral:rRNA from 1 species
GACGAACGCUGGCGGCGUGCUUAACACAUGCAAGUCGAACGGAAAGGCCCUGCUUUUGUGGGGUGCUCGAGUGGCGAACGGGUGAGUAACACGUGAGUAACCUGCCCUUGACUUUGGGAUAACUUCAGGAAACUGGGGCUAAUACCGGAUAGGAGCUCCUGCUGCAUGGUGGGGGUUGGAAAGUUUCGGCGGUUGGGGAUGGACUCGCGGCUUAUCAGCUUGUUGGUGGGGUAGUGGCUUACCCAGGCUUUGACGGGUAGCCGGCCUGAGAGGGUGACCGGCCACAUUGGGACUGAGAUACGGCCCAGACUCCUACGGGAGGCAGCAGUGGGGAAUAUUGCACAAUGGGCGGAAGCCUGAUGCAGUAACGCCGCGUGCGGGAUGACGGCCUUCGGGUUGUAAACCGCUUUCGCCUGUGACGAAGCGUGAGUGACGGUAAUGGGUAAAGAAGCACCGGCUAACUACGUG